AAAAAAGAAAAAAGAAAAAGGAAAAAAAGAAAAAAAGAUAAACGACCGCAGAGUCGACAGGCUCUAGAGGGAGCCAUUCACAAUUUGCCUCGCCAGAAAACAUUGCAUAAGAAAGGAAAACUGUCUUCCCUUCUACAAAAAUCCCAGCCAGCUAGAGUUCAUAUGCUUCGUGUAACCUCCCCUGUAGUGUCUCUAGCCAAUGCAUGUGGGAGGCAACGUCAAUUAAUUCAGCCUAUUAGCUGAAUCAAGACCACAUCCAGAUGAGGAGGACAAGAAUGUAAAUCCAAGCUACAGAUCUGGUCUAAUUUGUUACAUUUUUCUCAGUCCUAGUAAGCUUGACACUGGUGAUCUGAAUUACUGCCAAAGUUGAGCUUGCAACAGUGUGAACAGAAAUUAAGCACAUAUAUUUAUUUUUUCCUAGGUCAUACAACAGAAGACUGAUCUAUAACCAGUUGGCAGAGUGGGAGAUGAGAUUCCUGAGCCUGAACAGGGACAUACUUUUUCAAUCACUCGGGUCCUCAACCCACCCGUAACACUCCUGGGGCUAAAACGACCACCAGGCAAGAAGCUGGGCCCCUGCAUGCAUAAAGCUGUCAGAAUGAGACCCUCAACAAUUAAACCAUACAGACAUUCUGGCACGAAGCAUUGCUUAAUUUCUUGUUCAAGAAUUCUUUGAAGAAAUAAGUGUUUCCACAACACACCCAAUUUUUUUCAGCCUGUCACAUGUGGGAUUACCUCCUUUAUACCAUGGAACAGAGACUAGCUCACAGUACGCAAAGCAAAACAAAACAAAUCAAAGUACAAACUUUUACCUAGAGUCCCUUUUGAACUUUUUAACAUCACUCUUACUACAGUGACAGGACAAGACAUAAUAUUUUACUAUUUUUAAAGACUGCAUUUGCAUGAUAACAAAAUGUUAUUGCUAAUUCUUAUCAAGAUUUAAACCCUAAAAAUACUUCCUUCAUCAGCCCCAGGUUUAUGCUCAAUGCUGUUUUUCCACAGUAGUCCACCAAUCAGUAGUCCUUGAUACUUGAACUUUGCUUCAUCUUACAGAAAUAUGGGAAAUAAGGGAGCAGAGUUAUCCUAAUCUGUAUGUCUUGUAACCUUUCUUUCACAACCCUUUACACUGCAAGUGCUUCAAAGGCAAAGUGACUCUCUCCCUCUUUUGUCUCUCAAUGCCAGCCAAGACAAUAAAGCCCCAAUGUUAAGAGGACUGGGGAGUCUACCAUAAACUUCUACUCCUGGUACUAUAUUCUCUCCCAUUCCACCCACACUUUCCUUUUGAAUUUAACCAGAACUUGAACCAACAAAUCAUACUUCAUGCAAGACAAAGGGCAUCAUUCCUACCUCUGCUGAAAGUGACCAACUGUUUACUAUCAACAGAGAUGAUCGCUUCCUAAUCAAGGUCCUGUCAAACCACAUUAACUUCACUGAACAAGGCGGAUCUAGCUAAUCAAAAUUGCAUCAUGCAAGUCAGUCAUCAGAACAGAAGCUGUUUUUUCCCUUUCUAACAUUUCAGCCAGGAGUAGCAAAACCACCCAAGAAGCUGGGCACAGAUUCCAGAACCCAUCAGCAGAUCUGCUUCGCAUUCUUCUUAAGGCAUUACACCAUUUAACUAUUCCUUUGAUGGGUCCAUUAUCUACAUUUCUUCAGCCAAAUAUAGUAAAAGUAACUCCAAAUAUUGCAAAUGUUUUACACAAUGUAGCAGUCAGAUACAAAAAAAAAAAAUCAUAAAUGUACAUUGGCAGAAUUUUCAUCUGCAAAACCAUGUUAUGUUAAAACAUGUGGACAGACCAGAAGCAAGUGAACACAUCAGUGGUCUUUCAACUUAUUAGGAGUAAAAGAGAGUGAAAGGGAAGGAGAAAACAAAAAAAAAAAAAAAAAAAAGUUUUUACCAGUUAUGUGUCAACUUAUUUCAAUUAAAAGUUUGCAAAGAUCACUGGAACCUGCCAUACUCACAGUCAACAUAUACAGUCAGCACAAUUAGCUGAACAGGCAUUAAUUUAAAAUGAAGCCUGUUGUUGCUUUGGGUUUUUUUCCCCGAUUAUCCAGAAGUAGUGCAAAACUAAGGAGAGAAAUGACUAAAAAUGUCACGGAAAUGUACUAAAGUCACUGUGCUGGAUAUAUUAUUACCUGCAAGACUCACACAUUCUGCAGGAAUUCAUUCCUUAUACUUGUUUAAAAAAAAAAAAAAAAAAAAAAAAGAAAAAAAGAAGAAAAGAAAAGGCAUUAUAGUCAUUAUAGUAUUUCCACACCAUAGGACAAACAACAUAAUGGAAAGUAUGAUCAAUGAACAAAAUGCUGCUGUUUCAUGGUUUUCCUUUACGGACUCUGUUUUCUUCUGCUUGGUAAUGGCAACAUCUUACACUCAGAAUGCUACUAACAGAAAUUUUAUGUACGGCAUACAUACUUCCAAUUUUAUUUCAUAUCAAAGACAAAACCAUCUCACUUUAUUAUUCUAAUGAAAAAUCCACACAUCACUGCUCUUUUUUGAUAUACCUAAAGCCACUUGAUGGCAUUCUAGUCUUUUAUUACAUGAUUCCUUAUGAUUAAUUACGUAGAUGGCUGAGUUAGUGGCAAGAAUUCCAUAAUCAAAAGAUGAUUUAAUUAACAGGUCAAUGCAGAGUCUCAUGACUGGUGAUAAGACAGUGCAGUGGCUUGUACACUACCUUUCCAGCAGCGUCAUGGGUGUCUGCCUAUGAAAAAUGAGAUACCAUGCCAUCUGUGUGAUUUAGCUACAAUUUUUUUUUAAGGAAGAAAAAAACAGCAAAGCAGCAACACCAGUGUCCUGGCAUUAUUUCACAUUUAAUAUAUCUGUUUCUAAUUCUCAGGGAUGUAUUUGAAGGCCAUUGCUCAACAUGAAACCGUGUAGCUGACAGCACCACUACUGCUGAGGGUUAGUUAUUGUUAAAAGGCUGUUUUUUUUCCAGAGAAGAGGAAAGUAUCUUCCUCCUCCCCACCCUCUCUGAUAUCCACAGGCUUCCCUCUUAGCUCUUUGCAAGAGCACUCCAGAUCUGCCUUGAGCAAGACAGCAUCCUACACCAUGAAACAAACUGCUGCUCCUCCUGAACUUCCCCACCAACUGGAACAGAAGCUGAUCAAGGUAAUUUGCACUAAGACUGGUGCAUGGCACUGAUACACCCUUCAAUGAUGUAAGAAUAAGACUGUGAUUGUUUUCAUUGGCACAGUUUUUGACACAUUUCCUUCCACUGACUUAGUACCCAUUUUGAAGUUCCUGUGUAAUUCAGCUCAUGUGCUCAUUCCACUGAGAAUCUCAGUCUUAUCUACACCUUUCUCACAACCAAAGUCAAAAUUUACAUGUCAUUAACAUGUUUACAAAGAAGUCUGAAAUCCAUCACUGCAGUCCCUUCCACACCAAGUAGCCUGAGGAGUAAAUUUGACCUCUGUUACACUUAGAGAUCAAUGCUAGUUCAAGACAUCAGGGAUAGCCAGAAGUCACUGCUUAUUAAUUUACUGUCCAGUGGCUCUGAAGGCAUGAACUACUUAUUUUUCAGAGUGUCUUACAAUGUUCCAUUUCAGGUUACUGGAAUUGCAUCACAUAGCCCAAGGUUUCUUUAUUUUUCUUGGACAUGAACACUACCUCUAUUAACCACUCAAUACUUACCUUGUGCACUACCACGCAACCAGUAGCUUAGUAGACAGCAAGCGCUCUCUAAAAAAGAGCAUUCCUGAGAGACAAACAUUUGGGAUAAAAAUGUUUUCCUACCAAUGCGGAGGACAGACUUUGAGAAACCAAAGCCAAAUCUCCCACAAAUACAUACAGGUUUUGGAGCCUAAGUUCUCAGUCAAAUUUUAGGUACACAAACAAUUUUCUGGAGAACCUCCCUUCUAAAGACUAUGGGCCUCAAGAUAUUUCCAUCUGAGCACCUGAGAGGCAGACACAGUUCUGCUUUGUUUGAGCAACACCACCUUUUAAAUUUUUUCAGGACUAUAAAUCUGUAGCAUUAGACCAAUUCAGCAACCUUGUGCCAGUGAAAACUCAAAGCAACAGAAUCAUACCUCUAAUAGUCACGGACAUCUCACAUAAACAGUGUUUUUAUUUCAUGUCUUUGAAAGAUGCUGACCUUUUUGAUAAAUCAAGCAUAUGGAUAAGUAUCCCCUGCAGUGCUUAUUUUAUAGUAAUAGCCAAGGCAGGGAACCUCUGCAAUUUGCAAUACCUGUAACCACUACAGCAGGAGGCAUAGGAGAUAAAACCCCCUUACAACCUAGUGAUCACAUACAAGGACUGAAUAAUAUUCCAAGAUGUUCCACUGGGUCUCAGCCUUCACCAACCAACUCAAAAAGCAGCAGUGUACAGAGAAAGAUGCUAGACUUACAUGGAAAACAGACAUCCUGCCUCUACCCUACCUUCUCACCUUCAGCACCCUCUCUCUGCCAGGAUGGGAACCAGAAAGGGACUUCAUACCUCUCUCCCUGACACCCUGCACAACCCAUCUCCCUCAGCUUUGACUGCCAUUAUGGGCUUUCUUCUACUCCACUUCCUCAUGGAAUGCUGUUCCUAUGUGCAUCUCUGUAACAUGUGUGUGCAGGUGUUACUCAAGCACUAGCAAUUAAGCUAGCUUCAGUCCAUCACAAUGGUACACGGAUCAGGCCAGUGAGACACAGUUCUGCUUCCCCAUCCCAACUGGGUACCACAAUAACAAGCAGUCACACAUGCCACAGGGCAGAAAGCAGUACCUAAUGGCACCAGUGACAAUCUCCAUUUUUACAGAUAAAGAACGCAGACCUCAUGAGAAAAAAAACACAGCAGCCAAAUACUAAUCGCAAAGGGUUGAAACCCCCUACAAAGAAACUGGUAAAAAGAGUUGAAGUUCUACAGCAGAUAUGAAGACUAUCCUGUCUCUUACUGGGCACAGAAAAAUAAUGGCCUUUUGAUUUAAAGCUUCCUGUUGCUCUCUAGGGAGUUCUGUCUUCAUGUUCUCUCAGAUGUUUGAGCUUGUCUGGUGCUGCUUUGUGUCAGCAACAGAAUAUAGUUUUUCUGCAUACGGACAGUUUUAGUCAGCAUCCUGACAGAAGAGCAGGGAAGACAGCACUUUCCUCAGAAUUAUCAUUCUUCAGGCCUGACAGGCAAAACCAUUUACUGGGAGAAAGUGCAAAACACCUUCUGGAAGUCCAAGGUUAGAAGGCAGCAGAAAUGGGACUGGUUGGAAUGCCCGCUUCUUUAAACUUUUAAAAUGUCUUCUGCUUGUAGGGCCACAAUUGCUGUUCGUUUACAUGGUUGAUCUCUCAAUGUAUUUACUGCUGUGAGAUACUGAUACAUCUAAUGAUGUAUCUAAUGAUGCUAAGGAUGGCUGUCAUAAAUCCAUCAGGAUUACAUUAUAAAAACGUAAUGCAAAAAUAUAUACUUCACAGAAAGUGAAUGGAACUGAGCUGCCAAAAAAAAAUCAGUUGAGAAAUGGUGAGCUUACAAGAGCUAGAACACAGUGGUUAACAAUCAGCGUCUUAAAGAGAUUACAUGGUCAUUCAGUGGGCUGUGCAGCAGCUCAAUAAAAAAAUCAUAUUAAUCACGUAACUAGACAUGAUCUCUGUGAGCACUGCACUACAGGCUGUCAGAAACUGCAUGCUGUGUCUGUCUAGGUUUUCUUGCACAGCAUUCACUGAAUACACAUUUAUUCAUCUGUAUAGCACACAUGGAGCAGCUGUUGUGCCUGCCCAGGUUAAAACAGCCUGCACCUUACCAUCUCCCUUCCCAACACACAGGUAGACAUUCUACUCUUAUCCCUCUCCCCAGUUAUGCUGUCCAACAAAAGGACACCAUCUAGAUCAUCAUAUCCCAAUGAGAAGAUAUAAUCAGUAUCAAUAUCUCUUUAGUGCCAAAGACUUUAGGAUAAUGUAAAAGCAAUAGGACCAUAUCAACCAUUUCUAUUACACUGAGAAUAAGAUAACACCAGACUCUUCAUUUUUACUUUUAAAAAGUGGGGGGGGUGGGGGCAGGGAGGUGGGAAGAGACAGAGAUAAAACCUAUGCAAAAAAAAGCUAACAAAAAAAACCACCCAACAACAAAGCACUUCACUUUAUCUCUCAAGCCAUCAUAUGAUAUGAAUUAAGUUACUCCUUACACAUGAUGGGGAUGGCUCCCGUUUGCUGUUACAAACUGUGUUAACGCUGACACGAUUGUGAAUAGCAAAAAUAAAAACACCCAUCAAAGUUGCCUUUUCAUUCUGUCACAGAAUGAUAAAGUUUGGAGCUGUGACAAGGACACAAAGCUGUCUGCAUACUCAGGAAGACAGCCCAACAACAGCUGCCGCUGCUUGCAGAGGGCAACCUUCCCUGCAAUUUUAGGAACUAAAACUUUUCUUUCUAAAAAUCAGCUAAAAUCUAGUUUUACGUGUAUACAUCUGUAUUGCCUAUAGGCAGAAAAAUAUUCUCUUUGAUUGGGUAAAAUAGAUAGAUUGCUAAAGAAAAAGAGAUAUUUUUAUUUCUUGCUUGGUGCCUAUCUAGGUUGAGAGAGUGGAAAAGGGCAGGGAAAAAAAACCAGCACAAAUUUAAGAAAAAAAAGCAAAGCCAACAUGCAAUGAGUUUUGAAACAUACAAUAAUAUACAAAACUGGUACAUCACAAUUCAAACUUUUCAAUUAAACAUAAAAUGCAGUGGCUGCUUACUGAGCUGCGACACAUGUCCUUGGUAACAGGAUAUGAGCUGUUCACCUCUGGGUCACCGUUCCUAAUCCAGCCAGGAACAAUAGUGACCACAAGUUGUUUACCAUCUGACAGCUGUUUGCUAACUUAUGUGAAAUGAGUUGGUGGUCUCAGUCCAUUUCCUACGGGCAGGUGUCCACAUUAUAAAGCAGCACUGCCACAACAGGCAUCCUUGUUGACCAACCCAGCAAGAAACUGAGGAAUGAAUGGGCAUGGAGAACAAACUUCCUUCCAAAGACAUGUUCCCUUCACAUCACACCUAAACCAUAGCUUGCAGUGAAGAAGCCCAGCCACUGAAUUUUAUGGCUCAAGUAGCAAAGGAAUAGUAGCAGAAGUGUCUCAGACUUAUCUUUUUCCUAGAUAUCAAGGAGACUGGCUUCAGCAGCUAAUACAGAUUAUUGCAAUUCUCCCAACAGUUUAUGGUCACAUAACAUUAUAUACCCCAUGAGGAGCAAGCUGAAUUUUUAUUCUUCAGUAAUUUAAAAUAACAGCCAAGCAUGCUUCAUAACAAGCAAAAAUCUUCAAUUGUACACGAAAGUGGCAAAAUUUAGAGAAGUUCUGCUGAGAAGGGUAUCUAAAGGGCUUCAAGGUCUAAAGCUAAGUAUUUCAAAACAGCUGAAUAUAAUUUCUUUAAGUUACUUUAGGUUGAAUAAGAGCUUCUGCUGGGUAAUAUGUUACAAACAAUUUGCUGUGUUGUUCCACAGCAGUCAGCUUUCCUCUAGGCCAAACUUUUCAUUUAACCUCUCAGUGCCCUUUCCUCAAAUAUGUAAUUGUUUUCCUGUGUGGUUAAAACCAGCAUUUUUAGGUCUUUUCAUCUGUACUCCUGGGAUAGCACAAAUUUCAUCUGUACACGGAGUAGCACAAAAUUUGAAUGCAAUGUUUUUAAAGGAACAGCAAACAGCAAUGCAAACAGAUGCAAACAGAAUCCAGAACCUUUUAGAGGAUAUCACUUCCUAAAUAUCCCUUUUAGGACAUGGCAAAAUUAACAUAGGAAAAUGAAAGGAAUGAACAUGUUACGACACAGGGUACAGCUCCUUUCAAGUUUUCCCUACCAGCUGCUUGCUGUACCAUCUGUUGUUGCCUAAGCAGCUUCCUUCUGAAUGGCUUUGCACUGAAGCAGAACUGCUCUCACUGUUGGACACAAUCAGGUCAGGUCAGCGCUCCCCCCAGCACCGAACCUGCUGCCUGUCACAGCUUCCCCCACCUCGAUAUUUCUUACUGGCCACCAGCUCCCGAGCCUGCGCUGCAUCUGUCAAGAGGCCCAUUUUUCAUCGCUCGCUCGCCAUUCACACCGAGCAGGACAGAGUGCGUCUCACUUUGUGCGGGAUGCACACCGGGAUUCCUGUCAGACACUCUGAGUGUGCGACCAUAUGGCCAGGUUUAUGCCGAAGCAGGAAAGGUCGGGAAAAAAAGCCAAAGAAAUGGCCAAGCACACCCCUCAGCAUGGCUUUUAUUUUCUGCUUUGGGCCACUGUGACCACGCUGGUGGUUUUUCGCUAUGGAGCUCAGGGCGGAGGCCACGCUCGCUCUGGACCUAGAGCGGCGGCUCCAAGGUCUGGGGCGGGAGGAGGCCGAGUGGACCAGGCAGUCCCGAGGGGGCACACGGCGGGGUCCCACCUGGAGCCCGGCCAGGAGCCAGCCCCGCCGCCAGCCCCAGCCCUGCCCCAAGGGCACCCUCAGGCCCCGCCGGCCCGGGGGGCCGCGCACAAAAGGCCGCCCCGGCCCCGAGGCGCUGGUGCGUUCCCAACGCCGCUCCUUCCCGUGGCAUCUGCGCGGGGAAACACACAUCGCUGGGAGCCACUUUCACGAUUUUGUUGCGAGCGGGAUUAGCUGGAUUAGGGGCCGAUUCAUAAGGACCCCCUGCGGCUGUGAGGAAGUUUCAUCACAAGGUCAGUGUGGUGUGAACUAUAUUCUGUCAACACCACCACUCCUUAUAGCCAGCUACAAAAAAUACAAAGGGGGGGGGGGGGCGGGCGGGGGGGAAAGGAGGAAAUUGCAAGUGAAAUAUAUGAAUGAACAGUUUACAGCAACAAAAAGAUUUACCGAUUUCCCCCUCAAAUGCUUAAAAAGAUGUGUACCCUCCAACGCUGCAUUUCUUUAAAACAAGAAACCUGUAUUAGUAAUUUUUAAUUUAUAAAGAAUUUAGUGGUUUAGGAGGUGGGAGGAACCUGGGGAAUAAGUGUAGCAACCCACACACAAAAACCACAGAGGAACUUCUGGGACUUAGUUUAAAACCAGUCAUGCAGUUCCAAGAUUGUUGCACUGUUGAGAUUUUAUUACAUUUAAUGCUGCCACCUUCAAGACUAUUUAAUUCCUACCCCCCCCCCCCCAAGUGCAGUAAGUAACAGAGACAUUAAAAAAAGAGGGUUGGAUUGAAGAAAGGAGAAGGUGAAUUAAAGGGGUUUUUUGUUUGUUUUUGCUCUUUAAAGCAUAAUUACCCAUCUUGUACUUCGCCCACCUCCCCCCCAGCAAGAUUACCCUCAUCCCAUCGUAAUGACAUCACUCAAAGACUGCAACACUUUUAUAGCUAGCAUGAUGCAAAAUAAAAUCUAUAAUGAAAGAGCAGGACUUUUGUUUUGCAUGUGUAGUUUUGGGGGAGUUUGGGGGGGGGGGGGGCGAAGUGCGUGGUUUAAGAGAAGUCCCUCUUGCACAGAACCAGGCUGUUCAAUCAAAGCCUUAUCUGUUAUAUUUCUGUCUUUCUCUUCUGUUUAGCGCAUUCACCGACAAGAGAAAAGGGGCUAAAGCAAUGGAGGCUUUGACCUGCAGCUGUAACACAAUACUUUCGCACAGCCCUGUCGACCCCUGACAUAAAUUUUACACCGCAGCUGGCAUUUACACACUUAACAUUACCAUAUGUAUAGCCUACUCUGUGCUAAUUAUGCUAAUCACCUGUCUAACUCUCUGCUGCGAAAAAUGGUUGUAUUUAGCAGUCCACUGCCUACCAAUACAGCUUACUGUGUGGCUGAAAUGUACAUUCAGACGUCUCUGAAUGGCAAGAUUUUUCCACGUUGCUGGCUUCAUUCAGACCACAGAAAAAUUUAUUCAAGUCAACUGGUUUCGGUCCGCAACAAAAAAGUUACGAGAAAAAAGUGAGUGUGUUCCUGCCCUAACAUUCUAAGUCUGCUUGCAAGCAAAAUGAUAAAUCAAUUGGUGUGGGAAACAAAAAGGGAGAAAGAUUUCUUUUGCAAGCCAUGUGAAACUGUAGCCUAUUUAAAAAAAAAAAAAAAAAAGACAAAAAAGAAGAAAAAGGUCAUCCUAUUUCCCCAAAUCUCUACAAAGAACAGUUUAAUAGAUAUUUACACCUGCUCACAGUUCUCUCAAGUUGCUACCUUUUAUCUACAGUUGGAAAUCAUACUAAAUAUGUUUCAGGUUUUGUUUCUUGAUCUUAAUAAUUUCCCCUAGAAUAUUACAUUUUCUUUUAUCUACUGCUUAAACAGCAUCAGCUUCUAAACAGCUAGGGCUUCUCUUCUGACUAUGGGAACCCUUUGCAAAGUUAGUGAAGACUGCUGUAAAUGAAAUCAGAAUGAGGCCCAUGUUGAGAGGCAAAUAAGAAAAAUGCCCAGGAGAUACUCACCAGAAGAACUGGUACAAUAAAGUAUCUUCUUUAAGUACUUUUUUUACCAUUACAGAAAAGGUAACUUAGAAAAAAAAAAAAAAAGUUGUAAUGAAUAAGGGUUUUUUUUAAUGCUUAGUGUCAGCAGGAAGGGAGAUGUUUAAUAGAGUCCCUAAAGCUCAUCAUUCUACUGAGUAUCACACUGAGGAGACUACACCAAGAUCUGCAUGCAUUGGGAUCACAUUCCUGAAGCUAUUUAAAUACAGUUUAUCACCUAUAACCCCCUUCUCCUCUGCACACACCCAAGGAAGCUAUGGUAGUUCACAGAUUUGUCAGAUAACCAAAACAUAAAUCUGAUUAUGGCAUCACCCUUGGCCAUUUCCUUUCAGGUUAGAUUUGUGGAAUCUUUUUUCAACUAGAUUUAAAUGUUAUGAAAUGGCAUGUUCAUACACAAAAUAGAAAAACCUUUUAUAUCCACUACCACAUCUGAAUAAGGUAAGUACACCGGAAGGUAAGUAACUGUUAAUAUACAGCCAAGGGAUUUAAUUAAAAACAAGAACAGCUCAGCAAUGUUUAUGCUCAGAAGGUCCAGUAACACACCCAGUCACAGCAUGAGGUCAAGAAGAUCCCUAUGUCUGUGCCUUCCCAACUUCUCAUCUUUGUCCACUCUGCUUCCACAUGCAAGAGACUGCUGCUCACAAUAAGGUUUUCCCUGGAAGAGUAACUCACAAACAUAACUGCAGCAAGACUUCCUGCAUACUACAAGUCAGCAGAGAUCAGAGAAAUGAAAAGAACCAAAGCCUGAAAUACUGAAGAAAAAAUAAGACAAAUAACUGAAGAAAAUAAGGGUGGCUGAGAAAAUGCAUAUAACUGUAUAGUAUACACAAAGAAGAGUGAGCUUCUUGAUAAAAUUCUGCACUCCAGAUCCUGCUGAACUCUGAAAUAGAGCAGCUAGAGCCACAUAUACACACACACCAUCAUCUGUAGGCAGAAAAAUCACUGUGCAAAGGAUUGGACUUUAUUCUGUAUACAGAAGAAAACAUCUGACAAGUAACAGCCCGACAAGAUCUAUAAUCAAAAUGCAGUUUGAACCAAUCAGAAAAAAAAGCUAGCUGUGGGGCAAAGAACUUUACAAGCAUGGUUUUACCUGAGUGCUUAUAGGUUGAAGUAGGUAAUUCACAGUUAAGUUAAAAAGAUUGCGCAUAAUAGUCCAAGAGUGCAAAAAUGAGAACAUGUUCCAUUUGACAUGAAAAGAAAAGUAGUUGCAAACACAUCAAAACCAGCAUCUUAGUGGACACAGCUCCAAUAGGUCUUAGGGAGGUCAAUUUUUAAGGAAAAAUCCAACUGAAAUAUAAACAUGGCAUUAUGGAAACCAGAAAAAUCUCCCAUAGCUUUGUCCAGCCAGCACUAAUCUAGGCAUCAGCUGUGGUGUGUAAUCUAAAUAAAGGGAUCAGUUGGUUCAUACAUCUGGAAGCUGUCAUAUUUUGGAGCCUCCUAACAGUUAUGUGUAAGUGCAACAUUCACUUGGAUGUAACAGCCUUUAAAUUUGUUGAGUGGUCAAGAACAGUUAUAUGCAUACGCUACAUCAUAUUAUGACUUUCUGGGGAAUCAUCGAAAAUAUUAUGUAAUGACAGGGCUUGGACCACCUCUUGCCACAAAAAAAAAAAAA